rnacentral:misc_RNA from 1 species
AAGACUAUAGACCUGCGGAGUACCUGCGGAAGGAUCAUUAAAGAGUUUAACUACUCAAACCAUUGUGAACCUUACCUCAACCGUUGCUUCGGCGGGCGGGCCCGGGCCAAGCCCGGCGCCCCCCCGGCCCCUCGCGGGCGCCCGCCGGAGGUUAACCGAACCCUUGAAUUGUAUGGCCUCUCUGAGUCUUCUGUACUGAAUAAGUCAAAACUUUCAGCAACGGAUCUCUAGAUCGGAAGA